rnacentral:rRNA from 1 species
AGAGUUUGAUCAUGGCUCAGAAUCAACGCUGGCGGCGUGCCUAAUACAUGCAAGUCGUACGCGAAGACCCCGCAAGGGGUGUAUAGCGUGGCAAACGGGUGAGUAACGCGUGGGCGACCUGCCUUCGAGUGGGGGAUAACCUUCCGAAAGGAGGGCUAAUACCGCAUGACAUGCUCCGUUUAGAUACGGGGACAUCAAAGCCGGGGAUCGCAAGACCUGGCGCUUGGAGAGGGGCCUACGUCCGAUUAGCUAGUUGGUGGGGUAAUGGCUCACCAAGGCGACGAUCGGUAUCCGGCCUGAGAGGGCGGACGGACACACUGGGACUGAGACACGGCCCAGACUCCUACGGGAGGCAGCAGUAGGGAAUUGUUCGCAAUGGGCGCAAGCCUGACGACGCAACGCCGCGUGGAGGAUGAAGACCUUCGGGUCGUAAACUCCUUUCGACCGAGAUGAAUACCUUUCGACCUAACACGUCGAGAGGCUGACAGUAUCGAGGGAAGCAGCCCCGGCUAACUCCGUGCCAGCAGCCGCGGUAAUACGGGGGGGGCAAGCGUUGUUCGGAAUUACUGGGCGUAAAGGGUUCGUAGGUGGCCAACUCAGUCAGACGUGAAAUCCCUCAGCUCAACUGGGGAACUGCGUCUGAUACUAGAUGGCUCGAGUGCAGGAGAGGAACGCGGAAUUCCAGGUGUAGCGGUGAAAU